CCGCCUCAGCCUCCCAAAGUGCUGGGAUUACAGGUGUGAGCCACUGCACCUGGCCGUUUUUUUUUUUUUGAGACGGAGUUUUGCUCUUGUUGCCCAGGCUGAAGUACAAUGGCACGAUCUCGGCUCAUCGCAACCUCCGCCUCCCAGAUUCAAGUGAUUCUCCUGCCUCAGCCUCCAGAGUAGCUGGGAUUACAGGCAUGCGCCACCAUGUCUGGCUAAUUUUGUAUUUUUAGUAGAGAUGGGGGUUUCUCCACGUUAGUCAGGCUGGUCUCGAACUCCGGACCUCAGGUGAUCCGCCCGCCUCAGCCUCCCAACAUGCUGGGAUUACAGGCGUGAGCCAUCGAGCCCAGCCUAUCUGAAUUAUUCUGUUGCUGACAGGAAGCGGAACUCAGGUAAUGAUAUAUACUAGAACUGAAUAUUUGUGACUGAGAUAGGCAUUGCCAACAGACUCAAAGAAGGGGAGAAUAUCCUCCUCUUUUUAAACAUGGAUGGAUGGAUGUAGGGGCUCCAUUGAUCGAGUGCCACAUUGUAGUUGUUUUGUACACAGAGUAGAUUUUUACAGGUGGACACAGAAAGCAGAGAUAGCCUAGCUUCCUUGGACCUCUUGAAGCCCCUUCUAAGUAGGACCAUAGGACCCGUAAUCUGCACUGCUGUUGGUUUAAGUCUGCCGUCUCUGCUUUCCCAUACUCCAGACCGACAGCAGUACUGUGAGACCCACUCAAAUGAGCAGAAUUGCUUUGCCUGGGAAUUUUCUGGAGAGUGAGUCCACAGACUUCAUAAAUCGCUAGGAACUCACAUAGUCAUGGUAGUAUGAAGGGGAAAAGCCCUAUAAUUGUACUUCAAAAAAACACAUCUUUAGAGAAAUCAAGAAAUUAGAACUUUCUCUGCAUGCUGGUUUGUUUAUGGGAAAGCAGGCAAUACCUAGUAAGGGUAGGGCAGGUCCUAUAUUAAAUAAGACUAUAUUUGGCUGCAAGUAGCAAAAAAUAGGUCUGUGACUUAAAGAUUAUUUUUCUCUCACUUGAGAAGGGGAUAUGAAGGCAGCUGCUGGCCUGGGUUCUAGUGUCCCGUGAUGCCAUCCAGGACUCAGCUCUGUUUUUCCAUGCCACUGUCCUCAGCAUUUGGGCAUUUGUUUCCAUAGUCACAAGAUAUUCCAGUAUCACAUCAACAUUGAAGGCAAGAAAAACAGGGCAAAAACUAGCUAAUCUUGAUGGGAGACUAUCUGGAACAAAACUUUCUUAGAAACCUCAGCAGCCUUGAGCUUAACAUCUCUUUUGUCACAUCAUGUCAUGGAGCCAUCCUAAGCUGCAGGGAAGCCUGGCAAAGAUGUCAUAACCAUGCCUGCUGCAGUUGCUGGCAUAGCCCUGCACAUCCUAAGGGAGGCCAAUUCAGUGUUUUUCAGAUUAAUGUUCCAGCAGCUCAGCUUUUCCUUCCACUGCCUACUGUCAGCAGAGCCCAGCAAAUUAAAUAUAAGUUCUUCACCUCUGUGUCUGGACUCAUACUGGUUCCCAUAGCCAGGAAGGCUUCUUCCCACCUAUUUUUCCUGCCCCAUUUUGUUAAAGCCACCUCUGCUAACUGAGGUAACUCUGUCAGAGGGGUUUGAACCAGAGCAACUCCAUCUUAAAUGGGAGCUGGGUAAAAUAAGGCUGAAAGCUACUGGGCUGCAUUCCCAUGUGGUUAAGGCUUAAGGCAUUCUAAGUCACAGGAUGAGAUAGGGCAGCACAAGAUACAGGUCAUAAAGACCUUGCUGAUAAAACAGGUUGCAGUAAAGAAGCCAGCUAAGACCCACCAAAACCAAGAUGGUGAUGAGAGUGACAUCCUCACUGCUACACUCCCACCAGCGCCAUAACAGUUUACAAAUGCCAUGGCAACAUUGGGAAGUUACUCUAUAUGGUCUAAAAAGGGGAAACAUGAAUAAUCCACCCAUUGUUUAGCACAUCAUCAAGAAAUAACCAUAAAAAUGGGCAACCAGCAGCUCUCAGGGCUGUUCUGCCUGUGUAGUAGCCAUUCUUUAUUCCUUUACUUUCUUAAUAAACUUGCUUUCACUUUACAGACUUACGCUGAAGUCUUUCUGAAUUCUCUUGGAGUCUAGAUCGGGACCCCUUUCUAGUAACAACCCUAUCUAUACAAAAAGGCUUUUGGCCAUGUUUGGUGGUUUACGCCUGUCAUCCCAGCACUCUGGGAGGCCAAGGCGGGUGGAUCAUUUGAAGUCAGGAGUUCGAGACCAACCUGGCUAAUAUGGCGAAAUCCCCGUCUCUACUAAAAUAUAAA
rnacentral:lncRNA from 1 species